AGCGAACGUUAGCGGCAGGCCUAACACAUGCAAGUCGAGCGAGAAAGGGGCUUCGGCCCUGAGUAAAGCGGCGGACGGGUGCGUAACACGUGGAUCAUCUGCCCUUCAGUGGGGAAUAACACGCCGAAAGGCGUGCUAAUGCCGCAUGUCACAGUUGAGUUUCAGAGCUCGAUUGGAAAAGGGGACGCCCGCAAGGGGUUCUCGCUGGAGGAUGAGUCCGCGGCCCAUCAGCUAGUUGGCGGGGUAAUGGCCACCAAGGCGAAGACGGGUAGCUGGUCUGAGAGGAUGACCAGUCACACUGGGACUGAGACACGGCCCAGACUCCUACGGGAGGCAGCAGUGGGAAUUUUCCGCAAUGGCGAAAGCCUGACGCAGCAACGCCGCGUGAGGGAAGAAGGCCU
rnacentral:rRNA from 1 species